rnacentral:rRNA from 1 species
UACGGAGGGGGCGAGCGUUAUUCGGAAUUAUUGGGCGUAAAGAGCGUGUAGGCGGCCAGGCAGGUCCGCUGUGAAAACUCGAGGCUCAACCUCGAGACGCCGGUGGAAACCGUAAGGCUAGAGUCCGGAAGAGGAGAGUGGAAUUCCUGGUGUAGCGGUGAAAUGCGCAGAUAUCAGGAAGAACACCCGUGGCGAAGGCGGCUCUCUGGGACGGUACUGACGCUGAGACGCGAAAGCGUGGGGAGCGAACAGG